AACGAACGCUGGCGGCAGGCCUCAAACAUGCAAGUCUAGGGGGUGUAGCAAUACAUCACCGGCGGACGGGUGCGUAACGCGUGGGAAUAUACCUAUUGGUUCGGAACAACACAGGGAAACUUGUGCUAAUACCGAAUGUGCCCUUACGGGGAAAGAUUUAUCGCCAAUGGAUUAGCCCGCGUCCGAUUAGCUAGUUGGUGAGGUAACGGCUCACCAAGGCUCCGAUCGGUAGCUGUUCUGAGAGGAAGAUCAGCCACACUGGGACUGAGACACGGCCCAGACUCCUACGGGAGGCAGCAGUUGGGAAUCUUGGACAAUGGGGGGAAACCCUGAUCCAGCCAUGCCGCGUGAGUGAUGAAGGCCUUAGGGUUGUAAAGCUCUUUGCCAGGGAAGAUGAUGACUGUACCUGGAGAAUAAGCCCCGGCUAACUUCGUGCCAGCAGCCGCGGUAAU
rnacentral:rRNA from 1 species